AAAAACGCAACACUAUAUGAAACUUAAAUUAAUUUUCAAUUUUUCAUUCGCCGUGUCAUGUUGUAAGAAAUGAUAAGCACAUCAUCUUUUUGUCACAUUAAGUUAACGGAUCUUUAAAUAUUAACUUUAAUAUUGGAUACUGUUUUGAAAACAUUUUAUUCACAAAUUAAUUAAUUGAUUAACAAUAGUCAUGCUGGUUUUUGCACACGCGAUUUUCUUGGCAAAUUGUAUCAUGCUUAUAAAUGGACAAGGACAAGGAUACGUAGGCCGUCAACCGAAUUGUGCCGCGGUACUCUGCGCUGCUGUCAAUUGCCCUCGUCCCAUUCGUCCCAUUACACGUCCAGGAGAGUGCUGCCCUAUUUGUCCAGACAGGCCCCCUAUAUGUAAUCGAUUAGCAUGUCCAAGACCUAUCGGUUGUGUUGACACAUACGUUCCAGUAGGCCAGUGCUGACCUAUCUGCCGACCAGGAAGGCCAUCUAUAUGUGAGCGAGUAAGAUGCGCAACACCUCCUCUAGAAUGUGAUACAUAUAUUCCAGAAGGCCAGUGCUGUCCUUUAUGCCGACCAGGUAAACAGUGUCAUCUCGUCGACUGCCAGCCGUUAAAUUGUAGGCGAAGAAGACAAUAUACGCCUCCGGGACAGUGCUGCCCAGUUUGCAGAAGACCAAGAAGGAGACCAAACUGUAAUAGUAGGACAUGCCCACGGGUGUUCUGUGAAGACUCAUAUAUUCCUCGAGGCGAAUGUUGUCGAGUAUGUCGAGGUAACCCAAGAGGCGGCAGAUACUGAUAAACAUGGGCGUCAAAGGGCAUGUUUCCCGAUAUAUUCUAAACUCUCAGAAAUCAACAUGUUACGUUUCCAACAUAUCAACACUCAUCUAGACACAAAUGACAGUUAAGCCGUAUCACCCAAGAAUUAUUAUAAUAAAGAUACUAUUUUCAGACAUAAACUGAAUAAAAGCAAUAGAAAGAUUAAAA